rnacentral:rRNA from 1 species
UACGUAGGGUGCAAGCGUUAAUCGGAAUUACUGGGCGUAAAGCGUGCGCAGGCGGUUGUGCAAGACAGAUGUGAAAUCCCCGGGCUUAACCUGGGAACUGCAUUUGUGACUGCACGGCUAGAGUGUGUCAGAGGGGGGUAGAAUUCCACGUGUAGCAGUGAAAUGCGUAGAUAUGUGGAGGAAUACCGAUGGCGAAGGCAGCCCCCUGGGAUAACACUGAC